CUUGAGAAAAAGCCAAAAAAAAUAAAUCCAAAAUGCAUUUAAACAUUAGAACCGGUGUCAAACAUGGAGCUUUAAGAAUCAGUAAACACCCCUUACGUGACCAUCACCUAUUGGCUAUUCUUAAGACUAAAGGAAAAAAAAAUUCAUCUCUCUUUCGAUCUUCUUCCUUCUCUCUUUCGUCGGUUCUUCUUUCUAUCUUCUUCCUUUUCUCUUUGCAUGUUUUUUUCUACCAAACCGAUCAAUCACUGCUACCUCCUCCUCCAAAUCCGUCAAUGAAAUCACCGUGGAGGUUUAUGAACUUUGCAAAUCCACUUUCACUGGGAAAUCUCCUUCUCCUGCUUCCACGCCUGUCCAAAAACUUUGCUCUCUGUUGGAUUCACUGAGUCCUGGAGAUGUUGGGCUUGAAGGGGAAGCUCAAGACGAAGAAGAUCGAGGCUAUGGAGUUUUUGGGGUUAGCCCUGUCACCAGAGUAGGAAGAUGGGCUCAGCCGAUCACAUUCUUGGACAUUCAUGAAUGUGACACUUUUACAGUAAGUGUCUAUAAGAAAUUGAAAUUGAGAUGAGAUGAUAAAUUAGGAUUGUGACUGAUGCUUAUGGAACUUAAUGUUUUUGCUUUUGGUUUCUUUUUGUUAUGUAUGUCGAGUGUCUAUGGCGCAGUGAGCAGAGUACAUGACGAGUUGUUACAUGGUUGGUCUAUGGUCACUAUGGUGCUUAUUGUAUCUGAUCGUGUUUCUUCUUUAUUGACGGCACCAAGGACCACGACGACUGUUGGUUUAUACCACACCGCCUAUCAGAGAACACGACUGAGUUGGAGAUAAGGUGCAGAAGGGUCAAGUUGUUUGCAUUAUCGAAGCUAUGAAACUGAUGAACGAGAUUGAGGUCUGAUAUUUUUUUAUAACAGUGCAGUAGCUUACAAUCAAAAUUUGCGGAUUGUGAUGACAUUGUCAAUAUAUUUGGGAUAAUAUAUGUUUACGUAUUGCAUUUAAGUAAAAAAAACAAUUGAGAGUUUA